UACAGAGGGGGCAAGCGUUGUUCGGAUUUACUGGGCGUAAAGGGCGCGUAGGCGGUCAGCACAAGUCAGUUGUGAAAUCUCCGGGCUUAACCCGGAAAGGUCAACUGAUACUGUGCGACUAGAGUGCGGAAGGGGCAACUGGAAUUCUCGGUGUAGCGGUGAAAUGCGUAGAUAUCGAGAGGAACACCUGCGGCGAAGGCGGGUUGCUGGGCCGACACUGACGCUGAUGCGCGAAAGCCAGGGGAGCGAACGGG
rnacentral:rRNA from 1 species